rnacentral:rRNA from 1 species
UACGGGGGGGGCAAGCGUUGUUCGGAAUUACUGGGCGUAAAGGACUCGUAGGUGGCCAACUAAGUCAUACGUGAAAUCCCUCGGCUUAACCGGGGAACUGCGUCUGAUACUGGAUGGCUUGAGGUUGGGAGAGGGAUGCGGAAUUCCAGGUGUAGCGGUGAAAUGCGCAGAUAUCAGGAGGAACACCGGUGGCGAAGGCGGGUCUCUGGGCCGAUACUGACGCUGAGGCGCGAAAGCGUGGGGAGCAAACAGG